rnacentral:tRNA from 1 species
UAAAUAUUUGUUUAUGUAGUGUGCCAGACAGCAUGGCUGAGGAGUGCUAAAAAUGCAAGACAAUUAAGACACAAUGAUGAAGGACUUCCCUGGUGGUCCAGAUGUUGAAAUGCCCUGCUUCCAGUGCAGGGGCCCCAGGUUCGAUCCUUGGUCAGGGACAGUGGCCCCAUAUGCUGCAUGGUGCAGCCAAAAACAAAAAGAGAGACACAGUUGUGACCUUCAAGAUUCCUACUGUUGACUGAGGGUGAAGGGCAAGUAAUCUGAUGACCCUGUGGCUGGAGAAAUGGCCUCUGACAGGUUUGUAGAGAAAGUAUAAAAGGGCAGAAGAUGGGCAUGUAACCCUGAAUAUUAUGGCAUAGGAUGCAAGAGAGUCAGGAGGCCUUCCUGGAGGAGAUGCUGCUUACGUUGCAUAUUCUUGUACAUCCAUAGUGUUGGGGAUACAGUGGGACGGAAUGGUGUGCUCAAUGACUCGGUGACAGAGAGAGCUUGACAUGUUCAAGGACACACAGGGAGUCCAGGGAACCAUGCAUGGAAGCAGCAAAUGGAUUGGCUGACCUAAGAAAUGCUUGGUCAGGAGGUAUUUUUAUUGACUCUCCAACAGCAAAAGUGAAAGUAAAUUCAGGAGCGCAUGCAAGAGCCAAGAGUACAAGGAAGCUUGAUAAGCACAGCAGGUGGGCGGGGGAUUUCCCACUAACCCGCUUAUUUAAACUGGAGGCCCGGUCUUUUGCUCUGUCUCUUGAUUCUGCUCCUCUGAUUGCAGACAUGGCUGCCCCUUGCACUGCCUCUGGUGAUCUUUCAACUACUGAAGAGCCCUCCACUAACACAUGGAAAUACAGCAAGACUGAGACUAACAAAAAAGCCAUGUUAACCCUGGCAGACGGAAGCCUGUCUUGCCCAAAAGGCUCCUCUAGCGAUCAAAUGAUCCAGGUGAGAAUACUGGACUGGGGGGCCAUUCCCUUCUCCAGGUGAUCUUCCUGACCCAAGGACUGAACCCAGGGUCUCCCACACUGCAGCCUCACAGCAUAAUAGGCUUUUCAUUCAUGGUAACUAUUAUCCUUAUUUCACAUCAGAAAACAGAUUUUUUGAGGGUUCUACGCAAGGUAAAGACAGACUGGGGUAUAAAUUUAUAUCGCUUUUCGUAUAUUAAUCCUAAUUUUAGUCAUCCGAAAAGUGGUUACUACUUCAAAUUUAUACAGUAAAAAAUGAAGGUAAUUGAGAUUAAAUAAUAGGCCCAGAGCCACAUGGUUUGUAAAUGCUUAUCAGGAUUUCAACACAAAUCUGACUAAUUGAAAGGCCCUUCCUCUUUUCCUGAACCAGGCUCUAAUAUGCUAGGGAGAGUGAAAGAUAAAGGUACAUGCAAGUCAAAGACUGGCUUUUAUGUCUACAUAAUUUUAUAGUCAUACUGGAGAUAAAUAAAUGCAAUAGAUAACAUUCAGGUGUAUAGACCACUGGUUCUAGAGAUAUAAAGUUAUAAGCAGUCAACUCAUCUAAUUCUGUGAUUACAUAGCCACACACUAGUUCAGACAGGCAAGCCAAAGAUGCCAAACUCUGAAAACAGGCACAGAAGGAUAAAACUGCACAGACAUCUUUACCACAGGUACACAUGAAUUUCCAAACACAUAGCUCAGACAUACUUGGACACAUAUACAAAAGCAAACCCCAAAAUUACUCUCAAGAUCUGAGACACAACUCUGUCUGAAAAAUGUUCAAUAAUGUGUCCCUACACAUCAUUUGGUAUUCCAGAAUGUGCCCCUCAUUUAUAGGACCAUUUUUGUAAAGUGUGGUGUGUACUAACCCGCCUUUGUGUCUUAUUCUGUGGCAAGUAUAUUUAGACCUUCAGUUUUCAGGUGAGAGGUUGGUCUCUUGCGCCUGCUCUGGAUUCUCCAGGUUUGAAGUAGCUGGGGCAGGGACGGAAGAAAGGCCAGGUGACACGGCUGUUGAUUUCUGAAAUGGGUGCUUGAGAUCAGAGCAGUUACCAUGGGGCAGAAGAAUUGGGGUGCAUGCUUCCUGCUGUUUAGCAGGAGAAUGAAUAGUAUGUCUUGGGGGAAAGAAGCUCCCUAAGUCCUGGGAAGCACUGAAAUCCAAGCAGAGGUGAGGAUGUGGGUUCCUGGAGGACCCUAUAACAAGGCGUAGGCAAGGCAAGGGCCUGACCCUUGUGGCGAUGGCAAAUCAGGAUGAGCUGGUGGUGGCAGCAAAAAUAUCCUCCCUGGUUAUAAAGGGCAGAACAGUUGUAGAGAGUGAGAAAUAGUGUUGAUGAGCCUCUCACUGGAGAGAAAACCAGGGAAUCAACUACUCCUUGUGUUUAGGAGAGAAGAUGGAGCUCUGGAGGGUCUGGAAAAGGACAGGAAAUGAGCAUAAAAACCGGAAGAGGGUGGAAGAGACUCAGAGAGGACCUCCUAGAGGAGAUGCUGCUUACAUUGCAUAUUCUAACAAAUCCAAGGUGUUGAGGGUAGAGUCAGAGGGAAAUGGGUGCUCAGAGCCCAGGUGGAAGAGGGCCAG